GUGAGGGGAUGUGAUGGGACUCACGUGC
rnacentral:piRNA from 1 species